ensembl:snoRNA
CUUCUGCUAAGGUUUACACUAUAGAUGCAGGAAAAAAAAUGUCCUCACACUGUCUGUCUGAUUGUGGCAGCUGAGAUUGAAUAGAGAAAUAUAGGG